AUGAGCCUUAUAUUUCACACAGCUAAUGGUAAAUAAAGCAAGCAAUCAUUUUUGAAAUGGCCUUAAAUUUAACUCACUAACAGUAAAUCCUAACAUGAGUUCCUUCGGCCUCCGGGUCCGCCUCCACCUUACAAAAGGUUCCUCCGGGCUCUCCUCCGCCCUAGAAAGGGUUGCCUCCGGCCUCCGGGUCCUCCUCCACCCUAGAAAGGGUUCUUCCGGCCUCUAGGUCCUCCUUCUACCUUACAGAAGCUUCCUCUGGCCUCCGGGCUCUCCUCCACCCUAGAAAGGGUUGUUCUGGCCUCCGGGUCCUCCUCUGCCCAAAAGGGUUCCUCCAGCCUCCGGGCUCUCCUCCACCCUAGAAAGAGUUGCCUCCGGCCUCAGGGCCCCCUCCCCCCACCCACCGAAGAAGGGUUGCUCCGGCCUCUGGGUCCUACUCCACCCUAGAAAGGGUUCUUCCGGCCUCUGGGUCCUCCUUCUACCUUACAGAAGCUUCCUCCGGGCUCUCCUCCACCCUAGACAAGGUUGCUUCUGGCCUCCGGGCUCACCUCCACCCUAGAAAGGGUUGCUUCUGGCCUCCGGGCUCACCUCCACCCAAGAAGGGUAGCUUCCGGCCUCCGGGCUCUCCUCAACCCUAGAAAGGGUUCUUCCGGCCUCUGGGUCCUCCUUCUACCUUACAGAAGCUUCCUCCAGCCUCAGGGCUCUCCUCCACCCAAUAAGGGUAGCUUCCGGCCUCCGGGCUCUCCUCAACCCUAGAAAGGGUUCUUCCGGCCUCUGGGUCCUCCUUCUACCUUACAGAAGCUUUCUCCAGCCUCCGGGCUCUCCUCCACCCAAGAAAGGGUUGCUUCAGGCCUCCGGGCUCUCCUCCGCCCCAGCAAGGGUCGCUUCAGGCCUCCGGGCUCUCCUCCGCCCCAGCAAGGGUCGCUUCAGGCCUCCGGGCUCUCCUCCGCCCCAGAAAGGGUCGCUUCCGGCCUCCGGGCUCUCCUCCGCCCCAGAAAGGGUCGCUUCCGGCCUCCGGGCUCUCCUCCGCCCCAGAAAGGGUCGCUUCCGGCCUCCGGGCUCUCCUCCGCCCCAGAAAGGGUCGCUUCCGGCCUCCGGGCUCUCCUCCGCCCCAGAAAGGGUCGCUUCCGGCCUCCGGGCUCUCCUCCGCCCCAGAAAGGGUUGCUUCCGGCCUCUGGGCUCUCCUCCACCCUAGAAAAGGUUGACUCUGGCCUCCGGGUCCUCCUCCACCCAAAAAGUGUUCCUUCGGCCUCCGGGUCCUCCUCCACUUUACAAAAGCUUCCUCUGGCCUGUGGUGUGUUCAAUAUCAAUGAAAAACACUGUCUUUCAUAUUACCAAAAAAUCAAUACAAAACAACAAAAUACAGAAUAUAAAAUGUGUUCAACACAAUUAUAGAAAGAAUCAAAGCGAUAACAAUGUUCUUCCAAGGGAAACGAACAACUGAACAACAAAUUUCAAAGUGCUCUGACAUCAAUUAUGUGGGUAAAAUACUUUUAAGGAAACAAUGAAACAGCAAAAAGAUAUUCUCAAAGAGCUUUCAAGGAAAUAUGGACCAACUGUGGAACAACAACAACAAAAACAAUAUUGUAAAAGAGCUUUCAAGGAAAUAUGGCCCAACUAUGGAACAACAACAACAAAAUUUUCUCAAGGAGCUUUCAAGGAAAUAUGGAUCAACAAUGGAAGAACAAAAUUCAAAUUGCUCUUAGGAAAAAAUCACAUCAUUAGCAGGUUUUUCAAGGAAACUAUAGAACAGCAACGACAACAUUCACAAGGUGCUCUGUAAGAACUACAGCCCAACACUGAGGAAGAAAUGUGACAACCAGCGAGGCGUCAGACCUCGUUUUUAUCACUCCUGCAGUCACCCAACAAUAUGAAGAUAACAAAAUGAUGAUGAAGACGACAGUAAGACCCAGAAGUCAUGGCCUAUACUGAUAAUUUGUCUUGUUUAUGUGUGUACUGUAGUGGUCGUGUUUGCAGUCUUCUGUGUAUUUGUAUAUCUCCCUGCUGGUCUUAAGAAGUUGCCAAAAUACCCAAUGCUGCAGAAUUGGGCAUUUUGGCAAAAAUUUCAGGGACGAGCUGCUGCUGCUGUUUUACAUCAUGGCGUCGACAAGGAGAUGGUCUUUGGUUCCUCCGGCCAUGUGAGAAGUUCAGCCAGGCAUCCUUGUGCUGGGGACCAUAGCCGAAGUGUUCAUCCUAUAAGAAGACCCCGAUGCCCUCCAUCUCUGAUGGGAUGCUGAACCAGGAUUCAGACUGGGUCGUCAACUAACCACCGGAUACCUGAAGCCAUCGGAGGCCAGAGCUGCUCUAACGUAGAUCCGACAGCAACAAGUGCGUGCAGGUCCUGCCAGUAUCAGCCUUGACUCCUGAAGGACUAUGCAAACUGCAAGAGGCUUCUAGUCAUCUUCAACCUGAGCCAGAGUCUGGAGGGGAUCCCAACUUUGUGGAAGACUUCCUGCAUGGUUCCAGUCCUGAAGGCGUGUCACCUCAGGGAGCUGAACCACUUCAGACCCUCGCCUUUCAUCUGAUGAAGUCCAUGGAGGAGAUCAACCUUGGCACACCUGUCCCCCAGUGAGCUCGAGCCUGGACCCCCUGCAGCUCACCUACCUGCCAGACAUCAGGGUGGACAAUGCCGCCAUGUACCUGCUGCACAGGUCCCUGGUUCAUCUAGAGAACCCCAGCAGUGCUCUGAGGGUCAUGUUCUUUGACUUCACCAGUGGAGUACAGGCAGAUCAUUGUUGGCAGAGACUGGUCAGGAGGGGCAGGUCUGUCCUGGACUGUUCCCUGGACUCUGAGGAGGAUGCUGGCUAAGCUGGCAUCCAUCAUGGACAACCCCUCUCACCCUCUGCAUAAACACUGUCAGGGUCUGAGCAGCCCCUUCAGCCAAAGACUGUUACACCGUCCCUUUAAGGAGUGCCAGAUCAUUCAAGCCAGGGCCAGGCAACUUUGGUUACCAAGGGGGCCACAUAAAUUCUGGUUUUUCCUUCCUGAGGGCAACGUUGUUUUAAACUGUCAGAUAGGACUGUUGUAAUAACUUAUAACUGGGGCUUUCUAGGUUAAUUGCGAUUAUGGUGCAUAAUUAGUGCAUUAUUAUUUUAAAUCUGAGUAAUCUCACACUUAAUUGUCUCUUUCAACACACUUUGGUUCAGCUGCUUCAACAUCUCCCUACAGCCACAGUCAUGAAAAAGAAGUCUAUCACUGAACCUCAUUUUUUUACUUCCCUUUUAAAAACUCAGACAGCUCAGUGCACAAGUCAAAAGUCAUCUGCACCUUAGGUUAUCAAUGAUAACUUUACCUUCACCUGGAAUUUAAAUUAAGAUUAAUGUGAUUAAACUUGAUGUCAUUAAUUGCAAUUAACUGCAGGGAUUCUGAGAUUAAUCCCGAAUAAAAAUGUUGAUCAUUUGACAGCCCUCCUUACAAAUAUUUCAUCAAAUUUAAUGAACCAGCAUUUAUGUUUUGAAUGCAAAUAGAAAAUCUUAAUGAGUUAACAUGAAAUAAAAUAAGAUUUCAGCUUCUUCUUAAAUGGCAUGACCAGUUUUUGUGGCCAAAGUGUCUUUUACUUGCAUCUCCUUUUGAAUGAAUGAAUGAGCUUUUCUUGUCAUUAUA